AGACCCACUCAUUGACCUCAUUCAUAUUUGGAUUACCUGCCCUUGUAAUUGGCUAUAUCAUAGAAUAUUAUUGCAAUUUUCGAUGUUUAAUACACUUGUUUGUGCAGUGUUUUCGAUAUUCCGCCCUAAAUAUACGUCUAUAAAGAAAGUUGGCCUAGCAGGGAUUCAAACUCAAAGCCCCUAAAUUGGCAACCCGCAUUGUUACCGACUGAGCUACUGGGACUCGACGUCUUUACAACAGUAUAUUUCCAUAAAUAUUUCCUACCGUGAACUAAUGCAACCCCUCGUGAUGCUGCAAUUGUGAAUUUCGGUUAUCAUUCUGCCCACAAGGGUAGCUGUGGUCGAGUUGGUAAGAUUAUUAUAUGGAGCUAUAAUCUGUUUCUUCCAUUCCCUAGCAUGCAUAGUUGGUUUACAGAAUCGACAGAUUGAGCCAUAAAAAAUCUAAUAAAUGGUCUAUAAUAGAGCAGUAUCGUUUAAAGUUUCAAAUACAUUGAUUUGUUUGUAAUUGGGUCAAUAUGGUUAAGGCUAUGCCGGACGCGUUUUUUCAUCUUUAAUGGUAUAUUUUUGUUUAAUUAAAAUUUAAUUUAAUCUAUGUGCGCUAUAUUUAGGUGUUUGUUCCAAAUUGAUAAAUGUGAAUUUAUUAAAUGUUGAUUUUGUAUGGAAACAGGUUAACAUUUGGUUGGAGCACCUCAACAAUGUCGCUGCAAACAGAGAAAGGGGCCAGGCAAAGGCUGCAGAGACACGGUCUCUGAAAAAGAAAGAGUUGAGGACAGAGACAACUCCUGGUGGUGCUGCCACAUCGACUGCGACUACCCAUAGAAGUUCCGCUAGGAGCCCAAACCAUAGCCAGGCUCAGAGUGCACCAGACAAUAUCAUGGUAGAUGUUUCGAGGUUUGGACGGAGGAGGGUACCAAAAAGAUUUGAUGAAUAUAUUAUGUAAAAACAAUAAAAAUAAAAAUAAAAAAUGAAGUUCACAAU